rnacentral:rRNA from 1 species
CGGGUGAGUAAUGCUUGGGAAUAUGCCUUAUGGUGGGGGACAACAGUUGGAAACGACUGCUAAUACCGCAUAACGUCUACGGACCAAAGGGGGGGAUCUUCGGACCUCUCGCCAUUUGAUUAGCCCAAGUGAGAUUAGCUAGUUGGUGAGGUAAUGGCUCACCAAGGCGACGAUCUCUAGCUGGUUUGAGAGGAUGAUCAGCCACACUGGGACUGAGACACGGCCCAG